UACGGAGGGUGCAAGCAUUAAUCGGAUUUAUUGGGCGUAAAGGGCGCGUAGGCGGAUUCGUAAGUCAGAUGUGAAAUUCCGAAACUCAAUUUCGGAGCUGCAUUUGAAACUGUGAAUCUUGAGGGAUGGCGGAGAAAAUGGAAUUCCACAUGUAGCGGUGAAAUGCGUAGAUAUGUGGAGGAACACCGGUGGCGAAAGCGGUUUUCUAGCUUUUACCUGACGCUGAGGCGCGAGAGCAAGGGGAUCAAACAGG
rnacentral:rRNA from 1 species